UACGUAGGGUGCGAGCGUUAAUCGGAAUUACUGGGCGUAAAGCGUGCGUAGGCGGUUCGUUAAGUCAGUUGUGAAAUCCCCGGGCUUAACCUGGGAAUGGCAUUUGUGACUGCACGGCUAGAGUGUGUCAGAGGGGGGUAGAAUUCCACGUGUAGCAGUGAAAUGCGUAGAUAUGUGGAGGAAUACCGAUGGCGAAGGCAGCCCCCUGGGCCAACACUGACGCUCAUGCACGAAAGCGUGGGGAGCAAACAGG
rnacentral:rRNA from 1 species